GAGGGUAUAGCUUAAGUGGUAGAGGGUAUGCUCAGCAUGCACAAGGUCCUGGGUUCAAUCCCCAGUACCUCCU
rnacentral:tRNA from 1 species